CCUACGGGUGGCAGCAGUGGGGAAUAUUGGACAAUGGGCGAAAGCCUGAUCCAGCCAUGCCGCGUGUGUGAAGAAGGCCUUCGGGUUGUAAAGCACUUUCAGUGGGGAAGAAAGCCUUGGGGCUAAUACCCUCGAGGAAGGACAUCACCCACAGAAGAAGCACCGGCUAACUCCGUGCCAGCAGCCGCGGUAAUACGGAGGGUGCGAGCGUUAAUCGGAAUUACUGGGCGUAAAGCGCGCAUAGGCGGUCUGAUAAGCCGGUUGUGAAAGCCCCGGGCUCAACCUGGGAACGGCAUCCGGAACUGUCAGGCUAGAGUGCAGGAGAGGAAGGUAGAAUUCCCGGUGUAGCGGUGAAAUGCGUAGAGAUCGGGAGGAAUACCAGUGGCGAAGGCGGCCUUCUGGACUGACACUGACGCUGAGGUGCGAAAGCGUGGGUAGCAAACAGGAUUAGAUACCGAGUAGUC
rnacentral:rRNA from 1 species